GAUGAACGCUGGCGGCGUGCUUAAUACAUGCAAGUCGAACGGAAAGGCGCUGCUCUUGCGGGGUGGUCGAGUGGCGAACGGGUGAGUAACACGCGAGUAACAUGCACUUGUAUUUGUGGGAACUUCAGGAAACUGGGGCUAAUACCGGAUAGGAGAUCUUGAUGCACGGGGGGGGUUGGAAAGUUUCGGCGGUUGGGGAUGGUAUCGCGGCUUAUGAGCUUGUUGGUGGGGUAGGGGCUGACCAGGGGUUUGAAGGGUAGCCGGCCUGAGAGGGUGACCGGCGACAUUGGGACUGAGAUAGGGACCAGACGCCAACGUGAGGCAGCAGUCGAGAGUAUUGCACAAUGGGCGGACGCCUGAUGCAGCAACGCCGCGUGCGGGAUGACGGCCUUUGGGUUGUAAACCACUUUCGCCUGUAACGAAGCGUGCUUGACGGUAAUGGGUAAAGAAGCACCGGCUAACUACGUG
rnacentral:rRNA from 1 species